AACUAAGAGACCUAUAGAUAAGGCUAAUUCAUCAGAUCAGUCUUCUUCUAAAAGGCCUAAGCUUUCUGAUGUAUCUACAACAACAAAAGUUAAGCAAGUGACAGUCAAAGCAGAACAGAAGGUAGAUGAUGAUAAAUGUGACAAUGUUGUUCUUAGUCAGAAAAAGAAGAUAGGCUCCUCAGAUAAUAAAUUAUCAUCUUCCAAGCAAAAAGCAACAAAAGUUGCUUCUUCGUCAUCCGAGAAGAAAAAUAAGAAGAACAAGAAACAAAUUAAAAAUGCAAAAUAUUCGAAGUCAACAAAAAUGCAACCUAGCUCCACUGAUGGGCAGAAAAAAUGGACUACCUUGGUUCACAAUGGUGUCAUUUUUCCGCCUCCAUACCAGCCUCACGGCAUUAAGAUUCUCUACAAGGGGCGGCCAGUUGGUUUGACUCCUGAGCAAGAGGAGGUUGCAACAAUGUUUGCAGUGAUGAAAGAUACAGACUACAUGCAAAAAGGAAAAUUUCUUGAGAACUUCUGGACUGAUUGGCGAAAAUUAUUGGGGAAGAGCCAUGUAAUACAGAAAUUGGAGGACUGUGAUUUCACCCCAAUAUACGAAUGGCAUCAGUGGGAGAAGGAGAAGAAAAAACAAAUGAGUACAGAAGAGAAGAAGGCCUCGAAAGAAGAGAAGUUGAAGCAAGAGGAGAAGUACAUGUGGGCUAUUGUCAAUGGUGUCAAAGAGAAGGUUGGAAACUUCAGAGUUGAACCACCUGGGCUGUUUCGAGGCCGGGGAGAGCAUCCAAAGAUGGGAAUGCUGAAAAAGCGCAUCCGUCCAAGUGAUAUCACCAUAAAUAUUGGAAAGGAUUCCCCAAUCCCUGAAUGCCCUAUUCCUGGUGAAAGUUGGAAAGAAGUGAAGCAUGAUAAUACUGUUACAUGGUUGGCUUUCUGGAAUGAUCCAAUCAAUCCGAAAGAAUUCAAGUAUGUUUUCUUGGCAGCCAGCAGUUCCUUGAAGGGGCAAAGUGACAAGGAGAAAUAUGAGAAGGCAAGAAAGCUGAAGGACCACAUCGUCAACAUCAGAGCCAGAGCAGCUUACCAAAAGGAUUUUAAGAGUAAAGAUAUUGCAAAGAAGCAAAUAGCAGUUGCUACCUAUCUUAUUGAUAAGCUAGCUCUUAGGGCGGGUAAUGAGAAGGAUGAUGAUGAAGCUGAUACUGUUGGUUGUUGUACAUUAAAAGUAGCAAAUGUAGAGUGUAUUCCUGGAAGUUUUAAUUUGAAGUUCGACUUCCUUGGUAAAGAUUCAAUUCGAUAUGAAAACACAGUUGAGGUUAAGCCUGAGGUGUAUGAGGCUAUUGGAACUUUCCAAAAGGGGAAAAGGCAAACUGAUGAUCUUUUUGACAAGCUGGAUACAACAAAACUGAAUGCUCAUCUGAAGGAACUCAUGCCUGGCCUCACAGCAAAAGUUUUUCGUACAUAUAAUGCAUCAAUCACAUUGGAUGAAAAGUUGUAUGAGGAAACUGAAGAUGGGGAUGUUGCAGAAAAAGUUGUCAUCUAUCAACAAGCAAACAAGGAGGUUGCAAUCAUUUGUAAUCACCAGCGUACUAUUUCAAAAUCUCAUGGUGCACAAAUGUCAAGGCUGACUGAGAAAAUUGAGGAGCUCAAGGGUACUCUAAAAGAGCUGAAAACUGAUUUGGACAGGGCCAAGAAGGGGAAGCCUCCAUUAAAGGAUGCAGCUGGAAAGCAAAAGAGGAACCUGAGUCCUGAAGCCAUAGAGAAAAAGAUAGUGUCAACCAAUCAAAGGAUUGAGAAAAUGGAAUUGGCUAUGAAGA
rnacentral:misc_RNA from 1 species